GAUGAACGCUAGCUACAGGCUUAACACAUGCAAGUCGAGGGGAAACGAUAGAGAAAGCUUGCUUUUUCUAGGCGUCGACCGGCGCACGGGUGAGUAACUCGUAUCCAACCUGCCCAUCACUUGGGGAUAACCUUGCGAAAGUAAGACUAAUACCCAAUGACGUCCAUAGAAGACAUCUGAAAGGGAUUAAAGAUUUAUCGGGGAUGGAUGGGGAUGCGUCUGAUUAGCUUGUUGGCGGGGUAACGGCCCACCAAGGCGACGAUCAGUAGGGGUUCUGAGGGGAAGGUCCCCCACAUUGGAACUGAGACACGGUCCAAACUCCUACGGGAGGCAGCAGUGAGGAAUAUUGGUCAAUGGGCGAGAGCCUGAACCAGCCAAGUAGCGUGCAGGAUGACGGCCCUAUGGGUUGUAAACUGCUUUUAUAAGGGAAUAAAGUGAGCCUCGUGAGGCUUUUUGCAUGUACCUUAUGAAUAAGGACCGGCUAAUUCCGUGCCAGCCGCCGCAGUAA
rnacentral:rRNA from 1 species